ACUGUGCGCGAGGCCAGAGUCCUGGCCAGGCGGUUUCGGAGGGCUAGCAUGGCGCGACGCGGGAGGCAGAGGAAGGCAGCCAGCGGGCGUCGGGUGCGAGACGCUCCUCCUGUGGCUUCCUCACUGGAAGGCGCGGCGCUGGGCGGGACUCGGCGGGUCAGCUCCGCCCCCGGCCCUGGAGGCGCGCCCCCGGGGCGGUGUCAGGCGUGUGGUGCCCCCUGACCCUGGGGCUCCCCUUCGUUUCCUCUGGUUCUUGCUGCACACGUCAGAGUUGAGGCUGUGCUCAUGCAUCUGUGAAGAAGGAAGCAGGAGAGGUGGAUUCAAUGCCGGCCCAACUGAGUAGAAGGCAGAAGCUACAGCUCAACUCUAGAUACUUAUAUUCUGGAGCUACUAUAUCCCUGGAGCCCUACUUGAAUCAUUGGAUUUUUGUUAGGUAACUGUUGUGUAUGAACAUUGAAUUAAAUGUUUUUGGGCGAGAAAUAAAACCAGCCACUGCAUCCCUGCUCUUCUUUUUAAAAUUGUUUUUGUACUAGUGUAUUGUAAUUAUGCACAGUAGUGAGGUUCAUUGUGACAUAUUCAUAAAUGCACAUAACAUCAUUUGCUCCAAUAUAUUCCCUAGUACUUCCUCCCUAACCUCAUUAUCCUUCCUUUACUCUUCUGGUCUUCCUUCAUUGAUUUACAAAUAUUUUUACAUAAAAGUGGAAUUCAUUGCUAUAUAUUCAUACAUGCAUCCUUGUUCUUGAGUUUGUCAAUAUGUCUUGGUAUUUCUUUGUCAGUUUCUU